rnacentral:lncRNA from 1 species
UCUUGGCUGACACCAGGGAAGCAAUUUCUGGUUUUGAUUAGCUGCCUACUAUGACUUUCAGGCUGGUUGCUUUAGGAUGACCUCUACUUAAAUUGUGAGGAAAUGGAGUUGAUUUUCAGCUGCCUCCCUGUUGACUGGUGCUCUGGACUCUGCACUUCUCACGGAUGGCAGUGCAGCGCAUCCUGUGGUUAAGGCAAUCCCGAAUGGUGAUCUUGCUUGCAUUCAGCUGGAGGGUGGGACUGACAAAGAAAUCUGUAUGAAUGGAGAAAACCAUCAAUGCUUGGAGAAUUCCUUCUACAUCAAGAUGUAAAUCCUUCUGCCGCCUUUGGAUGCUUCACUUAAAUGACUCUAAUCUAGUUCUGUCAGUCAAGUAGAUUGUCCACGAUCAUCUCUGGUAAGAAAAUAAUAUAUAUUUUUUGUAAGUACGUUUUAUGAAGUAGAUAUUUUUUUUAUUGAGAUGUACUCAGUAUAGAAAGUAAACCUGUGUCGUCAUAGGA